CGCGUAGGCUGCGGGGCAAGUCGGGUGUGAAAUCUCAGAGCUCAACUCUGAAACUGCACUCGAUACUGCUUUGCUCGAGGACUGGAGAGGAGAUUGGAAUUCACGGUGUAGCAGUGAAAUGCGUAGAUAUCGUGAGGAAGACCAGUGGCGAAGGCGGAUCUCUGGACAGUUCCUGACGCUGAGGCGCGAAGGCCAGGGGAGCAAACG
rnacentral:rRNA from 1 species